GAAUUUGGCUGAUAACGCGUCCAGGUUCAUCUCUUCUUCCCCCAUACCAGCUCAUUUAUUUAAAAUCUCAUUCGUCUUUCUCCACUUCUGCCAUUGAGAGAAGAAAGAAAAACCUAAAAACUCCUUUAAACAUAUCCGAAAUCUUCAAUUUCUCAGUUUCCUCAGAAGAAAUGGAAGACAGAAAAACAUAUGGAAGAGCCUCCUUACCACGUCCUUCACAAGCUUCCUCCUGGGAACGGCCCUUACGUUCGAGCCAAACAUGUUCAGCUAGUAGAUAAGGAUCCAGAAGCAGCCAUAGCUUUGUUUUGGAAGGCAAUUAAGUUCGAUUUGAAAACCAAAACUCAAAGAUCAUCUCAUUAGUUUAAUAUUCCAAAGGGGUAAAUGGCAUUUCUCCUUUACAACAUAAAGAAGAAAAUGGUUGAUAGAAAAAAUAAUCUACAGUAAGUAAGAAGUAGAAACUAUAUUAUCCUAUACAGACGGCCGAGAUGCAAAAGCCUCUCCCUGUCCUGAACGGCUAGCAAAGGGAGAACACAGGUGCAAUAAAAAACAAUGAAGGAAUCAAUAUGGAUCAAUCUAUCAAGAGUGGAGAGACAACAACCCCAGUGAGCAACGCAGUAGCACAAAUUUAACAUUUGAAGCCAGGGCAGAUUGACAGCACAAUGAUAAGAACCAACGCAAGGACUAUGCCAAAAACAAUCAAUUUCAUCUUCAUGUUCUCUAACCACAUCUUUCUUUUCAUCUUAGUUCCUUGCUGCCUAAAAUCUUGUGCCUACAAUUCAAAGUCACAUGCAUCAUAUUCUGAAUUUUAUGUAUAUCAAGUUAAACGCA